rnacentral:rRNA from 1 species
AUACGGAGGGUGCAAGCGUUACUUGGAAUCACUGGGCGUAAAGCGCGCGCAGGCGGUUUUUUAAGUUGGAUGUGAAAUCCUAUAGCUUAACUAUAGAACUGCAUCCAAAACUAUUAGACUAGAGUCUGGGAGAGGUAAGUGGAAUUAGUUGUGUAGGGGUAAAAUCCGUAGAGAUAACUAGGAAUACCAAAAGCGAAGGCAACUUACUGGAACAGUACUGACGCUGAGGCGCGAAGGCGUGGGGAGCAAACAGGAUUAGAAACCCCAGUAGUCC